CCUACGGGAGGCUGCAGUGGGGAAUAUUGCACAAUGGGGGAAACCCUGAUGCAGCGACGCCGCGUGAGCGAUGAAGUAUUUCGGUAUGUAAAGCUCUAUCAGCAGGGAAGAAGAUGACGGUACCUGACUAAGAAGCCCCGGCUAACUACGUGCCAGCAGCCGCGGUAAUACGUAGGGGGCAAGCGUUAUCCGGAUUUACUGGGUGUAAAGGGCGUGCAGCCGGGAAGACAAGUCAGAUGUGAAAUCCCGCGGCUCAACCGCGGAACUGCAUUUGAAACUGUUUUUCUUGAGUACCGGAGAGGGAAUCGGAAUUCCGUGUGUAGCGGUGAAAUGCGUAGAUAUAAGGAAGAACACCAGUGGCGAAGGCGGAUGACUGGACGGCAACUGACGGUGAGGCGCGAAAGCGUGGGGAGCAAACAGGAUUAGAUACCCUUGUAGUC
rnacentral:rRNA from 1 species